rnacentral:rRNA from 1 species
AUAUAACUAAGCGGAGGAAAAGAAACUAACUAGGAUUCCCUUAGUAACGGCGAGUGAAAAGGGAAAAGCUCAACUUGAAAAUCUGGGUCCUUGUGGCUCCGAAUUGUAGUCUAUAGACGGAAUGUCAGUAGCGCCGCCGGUAGAAGUCUGCUGGAAUGCAGUAUCAUAGAGGGUGAGAAUCCCGUCUGUGACUGGAUGUGCGCUAUGUACGAUAUCCGUUCGAAGAGUCGGGUUGUUUGGGAAUGCAGCCCUAAGUGGGAGGUAAAUUUCUUCUAAAGCUAAAUAUUGGCGAGAGACCGAUAGCGCACAAGUA